UAGACACCCAGAAGUAGUGUAGCUAAAUGAUAUGACAACCACAGUUUUAGUAUUUUAGGAACUCCAUACUGAUUUCAAUAUGGCUACACUAAUGUCCAUUUGUAAAGAUCUCCCACCCUCUGUGCACAUCAGCAUCUUCCCUCUUGACUUGCUUUGAGCCUAAAAUCUGAUCUGGUUUGAAGAAAGUUUCAUGAACUGCUGAGAAGAACCCAUUUACCACAGGUAUUGGGUGAAAUAAUUCUGCUGGUGUCUUGCUUAAUGUAGCCCAGGCUGGCUUUGGGCAAUGUUGGGGAGUAACUGAGGACAUCACGUACCCCAGGAAGGCACUCUACAAACUCAGUUGAAUUCCCCAGUCAAGGGAGAGAUUGAUCUCUGAAGCUAGUGCCUCAGCUGGAACUGCUGGAUAUUUCGAUGCUGGUCAGAGCAGAGGGCUGAGCCAACUGUAUUUGGCCAAGCCUUGCAGCUCAGGGGUAUGGGGAGAUACCCCCUCAGGAGGUUUGGAAGCAGGAACAUUGCAGGCUGGGAAAUUUUAUG
ensembl:lncRNA LOC102546363 uncharacterized LOC102546363